rnacentral:rRNA from 1 species
AUUGAACGCUGGCGGCAGGCCUAACACAUGCAAGUCGAACGAGUGGCGGAGGGGUGAGUAAUGGAUUGGAACCUGGCUAAUGGAGGGGGAUAACGACUGGAAACGUUAGCUAAUACUGCCUAACAUCGGAUGUGCUCUGAGGGGUUUAGCUAGUAGGGGGGCUAAAGGCUCACCUAGGGGACGAGCCAUAGCUGGUCUGAGAGGAUGACCAGCCACACUGGAACUGAGACACGGCCCAGACUCCUACGGGAGGCAGCAGUGGGGAAUAUUGCACAAUGGGCGCAAGCCUGAUGCAGCCAUGCCGCGUGUAUGAAGAAGGCCUUCGGGUUGUAAAGUACUUUCAGCGGGGAGGCGUUACCCGCAGAAGAAGCACCGGCUAACUCCGUGCCAGCAGCCGCGGUAAUUC